rnacentral:rRNA from 1 species
CCUACGGGAGGCAGCAGUGAGGAAUAUUGGUCAAUGGACGAGAGUCUGAACCAGCCAAGUAGCGUGAAGGAUGACUGCCCUAUGGGUUGUAAACUUCUUUUAUAAAGGAAUAAAACGAGGCACGUGUGCCUUUUUGCAUGUACUUUAUGAAUAAGGAUCGGCUAACUCCGUGCCAGCAGCCGCGGUAAUACGGAGGAUCCGAGCGUUAUCCGGAUUUAUUGGGUUUAAAGGGAGCGUAGAUGGGUUGUUAAGUCAGUUGUGAAAGUUUGCGGCUCAACCGUAAAAUUGCAAUUGAUACUGGCAGUCGUGAGUACAGUUGAGGUAGGCGGAAUUCGGGGUGUAGCGGUGAAAUGCUUAGAUAUCACGAAGAACCCCGAUUGCGAAGGCAGCUUACUAAACUGUGACUGACAUUGAUGCUCGAAAGUGUGGGUAUCAAACAGGAUUAGAUACCCCGGUAGUC